rnacentral:misc_RNA from 1 species
CAAGGAGCCGAAAGGCAACUUCAAACCAUCGCGAACGAAUCCAGGUUGCUUCGGCGGCGCGGGACCCCUCGGGGGACCGCGGCCCUCGCCCCGGGGGGCGGCCGCCGGAGGUCACAAACUCUCAUGUAUUACAGUGGCGUCUCUGAGUAAAAAACAAGUAGUCA